AGUCGCAAUCUAAUCGUUUUCAACGAAUAGUUACGAGGGAGAACGACUAACUCCGAAAUUCUCUCUUAUCAAAUAGGUACUUCGCAUCAUCGCUGCGGAUGCUGAUAAGAUGAUCCUGUAAGCCGCGUUAAUUCGAUGAUUUGUUACCACUUUGAUGGUUAGUUUAGUGCGAUUGUUCAGUUUACUAAUGUCGAGUUAACGAGAACUAAACGAUUGAAAAAUGUUUAAAAAGAAUAUUUAUCCUUUGAUUCCUUUGCGAUACUGCAAAAAGCAGAGUUGCGCGGCUAUUUCUACCACAAAGUUAUUCAUCGAUGGGAAAUUCAUCGAAUCCCAGUCCACCGACUGGAUUGAUGUGCAUAAUCCGGCUACCAAUAAAGUUGUUACUCGAGUUCCAGAAUCUACUACAAGUGAAAUGGAAGCGGCUGUGAAUUCAGCCACGGAAGCUUUUAAAACAUGGUCUAAAACUUCGCCUCUGGCUAGACAACAAAUUAUGUUCAAAUAUCAAGCAUUAAUCAAGAGCCAUAUUAGAAAUAUAGCUCAAAAUAUUACUGCGGAACAGGGUAAAACAUUGGCAGAUGCUGAAGGAGAUGUUCAGCGUGGGUUACAGGUCGUAGAGCAUUGUUGCAAUAUUCCUUCAUUUCUGAUGGGAGAAACAUUGCCUAACGUGACGAAAGAUUUAGAUAUUCUAUCGUACAGGGUACCUUUGGGAGUAACAGGUGGAAUCAUACCGUUCAAUUUUCCUGCCAUGAUACCAUUAUGGAUGUUUCCAGUUUCGUUAGUUUGUGGUAACACUUGCGUUCUAAAGCCUUCGGAACGAGAUCCGGGCGCUUGUAUGAUGUUAUUAGAACUAUUGAUGGAAGCUGGAGCUCCUCCCGGUGUUGUAAAUGUGAUACAUGGGACUCGUAACCCUGUUAAUUUCAUCUGCGAUCAUCCCGAUAUCAAAGCGGUUUCGUUUGUCGGAUCAGAUGUGGCGGGUAAACACGUUUACGAACGAGCUUGUAAAAAUGGUAAACGUGUUCAGAGCAAUAUGGGUGCCAAAAAUCACGGAGUCGUUUUGCCAGAUGCUAAUAAAACCAGAACAUUGAAUCAGAUAAUCGGUGCUGCUUUUGGCGCCGCUGGACAAAGAUGCAUGGCUCUGAGUACUAUCGUUUUAGUCGGCGAAGCGAAAAACUGGUUACCCGAACUCAAGGAACGAGCUGAAGCGUUGAAAGUAGGCCCGGGAAUUGAUCCUCAAACUGACGUCGGUCCUGUUAUAUCGCCUCAAGCUAAGCAAAGAAUUCUGAAAUUGAUUCAAUCCGGUAUCGACGAAGGAGCUAAUAUUUUACUCGAUGGUCGAAACGUUGUCGUGCCUGGUCAUGAGAAAGGAAAUUUCGUUGGGCCUACUAUUUUGACCGAUGUUAAGCCUCAUAUGGAAUGUUACAAAGAAGAAAUUUUCGGACCCGUUUUAAUAUGUUUAUCGGUGGAUACUUUGGACGAAGCUCUAUCUAUUAUAAAUUCUAAUCCUUACGGUAACGGAACCGCUAUAUUUACUACAAACGGAGCUACCGCUAGGAAAUUUACUCACGAAGUCGAUUGCGGACAGAUUGGCAUCAAUGUUCCAAUUCCUGUACCAUUAUCUGUGUUCUCUUUCACCGGUAGUCGAGGAUCGUUUCACGGAGACUUACAUUUCUAUGGCAAACAAGCCAUCUAUUUUUAUACGGAAACUAAGACUGUUACUCAGCUGUGGAAUGAAACAGACGCCACGCACAGUGUCGCCAGUGUUUCGAUGCCUACUUUGAACUGAUAAUAAUAUUCGAGUCUUCGAGUGUAAUUUGCAAGUAGUACGAGAUCAAAUUGCCUCCCGAAAACCAUGGAAUAAUGAACUCGCGUAUGAGAAUAUUUAAAUGAAGAAUUCGCCAAAGUUUAUCCACCUACGUCAACCCACCACCACCUACGAGACGAGAUUUACAUAGGUAGUUUGCGAUGAAGCGGUGAUAUUGAAGUUGGAGGUGAUCAAACCGACACUGAUGAUGCACAUUCUGGCUAGAUGGUGGUAAAUAUUUCCCCUGCACUCUGCUGAAUCGACGAACAUUUUUUUUGAGCUUUACGAAAUUUAUUGGGUAGCAACUUAUUCUCGUUUUUUUUCUGUUUGGUUUGUUUUGAAUUUUUAAAAAAAUGAUUCAAGUUUUUUAUACUUACCUGUUUUUAAGAAUUUAUGAUUGAAAUGUCCCCUUAAUUUAUGCAUGUACUUGACCAGUCAAGGUUAGUGCAGCUGUGUUUUAAUUUGAAUUACUCGGUUCUCAUAUUUUUUUUCAAUUUUCUAUAUUUGUAUUUCUUUUCUUUUUUUUUGUAUUAUUAUUAUUUAUUUUUUUUUCAUAGUCUCAUGUACCUACUUAAUUGUUUUUCAAAACGUCGUUCGAUGGGUUUUUAUUUAUUGCUUGCCAUCUUUUUAAAAUUUGUUAAUUAAUUUUGUUUUGCAUAAUGAUCAAAUUUGUAAUUUCAAGUAACCUUACCUCUUUCGUGUGUACAAAUUCAAGAUAUGUAUUUUAAAAAUUUUCUGUAAAAUGAUGAUUUUUUGAAUACUUACGUGUAAAAAUAUUUCGUUUGUUGUAUUGUUUGUACUAUUUUUAUCGAAUAUCAGAAUAAAACUAUGUAUCAAUGUCAA